AUGUGGGGGCUUUUUGCUGGUCUUUUUAAAGAAGUCAGCUCCCCUAAAAUUUAUUAGCGGAACAAUUUGUUGACCGUUCAUUGGUGUGAUAAUUAUCUACGCUAUUAACGUGAGGCAGUUCAGCUUCUAACAGUCCAUUGACUUGGACAGUUUUUCAUUAAUGUGACCUCAAAUCAGGUAGGACUACCCGCUGAACUUAA
rnacentral:misc_RNA from 1 species